rnacentral:rRNA from 1 species
CACGUAGGGCGCAAGCGUUGUCCGGAAUUAUUGGGCGUAAAGAGCUCGUAGGCGGUCUGUUGCGUCCGCUGUGAAAACUCGGGGCUUAACCCCGAGCCUGCAGUGGAUACGGGCAGACUAGAGGUAGGUAGGGGAGAAUGGAAUUCCCGGUGUAGCGGUGGAAUGCGCAGAUAUCAGGAGGAACACCGGUGGCGAAGGCGGGAUCCUGGGCCAGUACUGACGCUGAGGAGCGAAAGCGUGGGGAGCAAACAGG